rnacentral:rRNA from 1 species
CCUACGGGAGGCAGCAGUCGAGAAUUUUUCACAAUGGGGGCAACCCUGAUGGAGCGACGCCGCGUGGAGGAUGAAGGCUUUCGGGUUGUAAACUCCUGUCAUUUGGGAACAAGGUGCAUCGAUUAACUGUCGACGCAUUGAUAGUACCAGAAGAGGAAGAGACGGCUAACUCUGUGCCAGCAGCCGCGGUAAUACAGGGGUCUCAAGCGUUGUUCGGAUUCAUUGGGCGUAAAGGGUGCGUAGGUAGCGGGGUAAGUCAGGUGUGAAAUUUCGGAGCUUAACUCCGAAACUGCAUUUGAUACUGCCUUGCUUGAGGACUGGAGAGGAGAUUGGAAUUCACGGUGUAGCAGUGAAAUGCGUAGAUAUCGUGAGGAAGACCAGUGGCGAAGGCGGAUCUCUGGACAGUUCCUGACACUGAGGCACGAAGGCCAGGGGAGCAAACGGGAUUAGAUACCCCGGUAGUCCUGGCAGUAAACGGUGCACGUUUGGUGUGGGAGGAUUCGACCCCUUCUGCGCCGGAGCUAACGCGUUAAACGUGCCGCCUGGGGAGUACGGUCGCAAGAUUAAAACUCUAAGAAAUUGACGGGGGUCCGCACAAGCGGUGGAGUAUGUGGCUAAAUUCCGAUGCAACGCGAAGAACCUUACCUGGCCUUGACAUGCUCCUCUAAUUUGGU